UAACGUUCCGAAAGGGACGCUAAUACCGCAUGAGACCACGCCUUCUUCGGGAGGAGUGGGAAAAGGUGGCCUCUUCUUGAAAGCCAUCACCGGAGGAUGAGCCUGCGUCCCAUCAGCUAGUUGGUAGGGUAAUGGCCUACCAAGGCGAAGACGGGUAGCUGGUCUGAGAGGAUGAUCAGCCACACUGGCACUGGAACACGGGCCAGACUCCUACGGGAGGCAGCAGUGGGGAAUAUUGGGCAAUGGGCGCAAGCCUGACCCAGCCACGCCGCGUGAGCGAUGAAGGCCUUCGGGUUGUAAAGCUCUGUGGGAAGGGCGAAAGGCGGACGUGCUAAUAGUACUCCGUUUGACGGUACCUUCUUAGCAAGCACCGGCUAACUCUGUGCCAGCAGCCGCGGUAA
rnacentral:rRNA from 1 species